UACGUAGGUGACCAGCGUUGUCCGGAUUUACUGGGCGUAAAGCGUGCGUAGACGGUUAUCUAAGUCGGGUGUGAAAUCCCCGGGCUCAACCUGGGAAUUGCAUUCGAUACUGGAUAGCUAGAGUUCGGCAGAGGGAAGUGGAAUUUCCGGUGUAGCGGUGAAAUGCGUAGAUAUCGGAAGGAACAUCAGUGGCGAAAGCGACUUCCUGGACCAGAACUGACGUUCAGGCACGAAAGCCAGGGGAGCAAACGGG
rnacentral:rRNA from 1 species